GACGAACGCUGGCGGCGUGCUUAACACAUGCAAGUCGAACGGUGAAGCGCCUUCCUUUUUGGUGGGUGUGGAUGAGUGGCGAACGGGUGAGUAACACGUGAGUAACCUGCCCCCUUCUUCUGGAUAACCGCAUGAAAGUGUGGCUAAUACGGGAUAUUCUGGGUCUGUCGCAUGAUGGGUCUGGGAAAGAUAUUGUUUCGGUGGGGGAUGGGCUCGCGGCCUAUCAGCUUGUUGGUGGGGUGAUGGCCUACCAAGGCGGUGACGGGUAGCCGGCCUGAGAGGGUGGACGGUCACACUGGGACUGAGACACGGCCCAGACUCCUACGGGAGGCAGCAGUGGGGAAUAUUGCACAAUGGGCGCAAGCCUGAUGCAGCGACGCCGCGUGAGGGAUGGAGGCCUGCGGGUUGUGAACCUCUUUCGCCAGUGAAGCAGGCCUGCCCCGUUUGUGGGUGGGUUGACGGUAGCUGGAUAAGAAGCGCCGGCUAACUACGUG
rnacentral:rRNA from 1 species